CACUAAGAAGCUAUGAACCAGCACUAGCCUUUUAAGCUAGAGAAAGAGGAAACCUCCCUCCUUAGUGA
rnacentral:tRNA from 1 species